UGUUACUAAUUUGUGAUAAUCGUUGAGAAAAACUGAGUUUUUUGGAGAUUGAAGGCUUCGGUUCACAAAAACAGGUAAGAACUUUGGGUUUUUUUUUUUUCCGCCAUUUGAUUUAUUUCAUGGCAUAUUUUGAACAAAAUGAGUUCAAUAAUUAGGGUUUUUAAUCUUUAUUGUGUCUAGUAUGAUUUAAAAUUUUCAAUUUUAAGUAAUCUAGUCAAUUACAGCAAGAAAUUUGAUAUGAACAGUGAGAUGUCUGCGGAACCGAAUUCCGCUGUUUUUUUUUUUUUUCCGCCUUUUGAUUUUGUUUUCAUGAUAUAUUAGAAAUAAUGUGUUAGAAAUUUAGGUUUUUGAUUCCUUAUAUUGUUGUUUAUCAGAAAAUAUACUCAAUUGGAUGUAAUUUAUUCACUUAGAGGUGAAUUUUACAGUUAAAAUCGCUUAUGUAAAACGAACUCUGUGAAGAACAAUUUUUUUU
rnacentral:lncRNA from 1 species